rnacentral:rRNA from 1 species
AUUGAACGCUGGCGGCAGGCCUAACACAUGCAAGUCGAACGAGUGGCGGACGGGUGUGUAAUGUCUGGGAAACUGCCUGAUGGGGGGGGAUAACUACUGGAAACGGUAGCUAAUACCGCAUACCCUCGGAUGUGCCCAGAUGGGAUUAGCUAGUAGGUGGGGUAAAGGCUCACCUAGGCGACGAUCCCUAGCUGGUCUGAGAGGAUGACCAGCCACACUGGAACUGAGACACGGGCCAGACGCCUACGGGAGGCAGAAGUGGGGAAUAGUGCACAAUGGGCGCAAGCCUGAUGCAGCCAUGCCGCGUGUAUGAAGAAGGCCUUCGGGUUGUAAAGUACUUUCAGCGGGGAGGCGUUACCCGCAGAAGAAGCACCGGCUAACUCCGUGCCAGCAGCCGCGGUAAUAC